rnacentral:rRNA from 1 species
CCUACGGGUGGCAGCAGUGGGGAAUAUUGGGCAAUGGGCGCAAGCCUGACCCAGCAACGCCGCGUGAAGGAAGAAGGCUUUCGGGUUGUAAACUUCUUUUAAGAGGGAAGAGCAGAAGACGGUACCUCUUGCAUAAGCCAUGGCUAACUACGUGCCAGCAGCCGCGGUCAUACGUAGGUGGCAAGCGUUGUCCGGAUUUACUGGGUGUAAAGGGCGUGUAGCCGGGCUGACAAGUCAGGUGGGAAAUUCCGGGGGUCAACCCCGGUACUGCAUUUGAAACUGUUGGUCUUGAGUAUCGGAGAGGCAGGCGGAAUGCCUAGUGUAGCGGUGAAAUGCGUAGAUAUUAGGAGGAACACCAGUGGCGAAGGCAGCCUGCUGGACGACAACUGACGGUGAGGCGCGAAAGCGUGGGGAGCGAACAGGAUUAGAUACCCCAGUAGUC